GACGAACGCUGGCGGCGUGCUUAACACAUGCAAGUCGAACGGAAAGGCCCUGCUUUUGUGGGGUGCUCGAGUGGCGAACGGGUGAGUAACACGUGAGUAACCUGCCCUUGACUUUGGGAUAACUUCAGGAAACUGGGGCUAAUACCGGAUAGGAGCUCCUGCUGCAUGGUGGGGGUUGGAAAGUUUCGGCGGUUGGGGAUGGACUCGCGGCUUAUCAGCUUGUUGGUGGGGUAGUGGCUUACCAAGGCUUUGACGGGUAGCCGGCCUGAGAGGGUGACCGGCCACAUUGGUACUGAGAUACGGCCCAGACUCCUACGGGAGGCAGCAGUGGGGAAUAUUGCACAAUGGGCGGAAGCCUGAUGCAGCAACGCCGCGUGCGGGAUGACGGCCUUCGGGUUGUAAACCGCUUUCGCCUGUGACGAAGCGUGAGUGACGGUAAUGGGUAAAUAAGCACCGGCUAACUACGUG
rnacentral:rRNA from 1 species